rnacentral:rRNA from 1 species
UACGUAGGGUGCGAGCGUUAAUCGGAAUUACUGGGCGUAAAGCGUGCGCAGGCGGUUUGGUAAGACAGGUGUGAAAUCCCCGGGCUUAACCUGGGAAUGGCAUUUGUGACUGCCCGGCUAGAGUGUGUCAGAGGGGGGUAGAAUUCCACGUGUAGCAGUGAAAUGCGUAGAUAUGUGGAGGAAUACCGAUGGCGAAGGCAGCCCCCUGGGAUAACACUGACGCUCAUGCACGAAAGCGUGGGGAGCAAACAGG